rfam:Dipodomys ordii contig_17297, whole genome shotgun sequence.
GGAAGGGUAGCUCAGUGGUAGAGCGCUUGCCUUGCUGCAUGAGGCCCUGGGUUCGAAUCCUCAGCACCA